CACGUAGGGCGCAAGCGUUGUCCGGAAUUAUUGGGCGUAAAGAGCUCGUAGGCGGUCUGUUGCGUCCGCUGUGAAAACCCGGGGCUUAACCCUUGGCUUGCAGUGGAUACGGACAGACUAGAGGUAGGUAGGGGAGAAUGGAAUUCCCGGUGUAGCGGUGAAAUGCGCAGAUAUCGGGAGGAACACCGGUGGCGAAGGCGGUUCUCUGGGCCUUACCUGACGCUGAGGAGCGAAAGCGUGGGGAGCGAACAGG
rnacentral:rRNA from 2 species